GACGAACGCUGGCGGCGUGCUUAACACAUGCAAGUCGAACGGAAAGGCCCUGCUUUUGUGGGGUGCUCGAGUGGCGAACGGGUGAGUAACACGUGAGUAACCUGCCCUUGACUUUGGGAUAACUUCAGGAAACUGGGGCUAAUACCGGAUAGGAGCGCCUGCUGCAUGGCGGGGGGUGGAAAGUUUCGGCGGUUGGGGAUGGACUCGCGGCUUAUCAGCUUGUUGGUGGGGUAGUGGCUUACCAAGGCUUUGACGGGUAGCCGGCCUGAGAGGGUGACCGGCCACAUUGGGACUGAGAUACGGCCCAGACUCCUACGGGAGGCAGCAGUGGGGAAUAUUGCACAAUGGGCGGAAGCCUGAUGCAGCAACGCCGCGUGCGGGAUGACGGCCUUCGGGUUGUAAACCGCUUUCGCCUGUGACGAAGCGUGAGUGACGGUAAUGGGUAAAGAAGCACCGGCUAACUACGUG
rnacentral:rRNA from 1 species